rnacentral:rRNA from 1 species
GAUGAACGCUGGCGGCGUGCCUAAUACAUGCAAGUCGAGCGAACGGACGAGAAGCUUGCUUCUCUGAUGUUAGCGGCGGACGGGUGAGUAACACGUGGAUAACCUACCUAUAAGACUGGGAUAACUUCGGGAAACCGGAGCUAAUACCGGAUAAUAUUUUGAACCGCAUGGUUCAAAAGUGAAAGACGGUCUUGCCGUCACUUAUAGAUUGAUCCGCGCUGCAUUAGCUAGUUGGUAAGGUAACGGCUUACCAAGGCAACGAUGCAUAGCCGACCUGAGAGGGUGAUCGGCCACACUGGAACUGAGACACGGUCCAGACUCCUACGGGAGGCAGCAGUAGGGAAUCUUCCGCAAUGGGCGAAAGCCUGACGGAGCAACGCCGCGUGAGUGAUGAAGGUCUUCGGAUCGUAAAACUCUGUUAUUAGGGAAGAACAUAUGUGUAAGUAACUGUGCACAUCUUGACGGUACCUAAUCAGAAAGCCACGGCUAACUACGUG